GACGAACGCUGGCGGCGUGCCUAAUACAUGCAAGUAGAACGCACAGUUUAUACCGUAGCUUGCUACACCAUAGACUGUGAGUUGCGAACGGGUGAGUAACGCGUAGGUAACCUGCCUGGUAGCGGGGGAUAACUAUUGGAAACGAUAGCUAAUACCGCAUAAUAUUAAUUAUUGCAUGAUAAUUAAUUGAAAGGUGCAAUUGCACCACUACCAGAUGGACCUGCGUUGUAUUAGCUAGUAGGUGAGGUAACGGCUCACCUAGGCGACGAUACAUAGCCGACCGGGGGGGGUGAUCGGCCACACUGGGACUGAGACACGGCCCAGACUCCUACGGGAGGCAGCAGUAGGGAAUCUUCGGCAAUGGACGAAAGUCUGACCGAGCAACGCCGCGUGAGUGAAGAAGGUUUUCGGAUCGUAAAGCUCUGUUGUAAGAGAAGAACGGGUGUGAGAGCGGAAAGUUCACACUGUGACGGUAUCUUACCAGAAAGGGACGGCUAACUACGUG
rnacentral:rRNA from 1 species